GCGAUUCAUCUGUUUCAUCUUAUCCAGACUCCCCGUCCUCGCGGCGCUCCGCUCCGCCCCGCCCCGCCCACCUCCUGCUACGCCCCUCGCGCCGCCGGCCGCCUCCUGCCCCGCUCCGCCCCUCACCACGCGCCGCCGGCCUUCUCCUGCCUCCCAAUCCCAUCUCGCGGCUUUCUUCGCCGUUCACCGCUCCCCUCCACCUACUGGUCGCGACCUCGUGGGAGGCAGAGGAUGGGAGGGUGCGGCGCUGGCGUCCGACUCCAGGAGCUCCAGGAGCUCGAGAGGGCCGAUCUGCGCGUCGGCGACCUCGCGGGAGGCAUGGCGUGGCGUGUUGCGCUCGAGACGAGCGGGCUCGAGUAAGGGGAUUGGAGGGUGGCGCCGGCGGGAUCGUGGACGGUGAUGGAGUGGGCGGGUGCCGGCAAGAUCGAGGCCGGGGAUGGAGAGGGCGGUCGGCGAGCUGGCGGCUGAGGAUGGAAGAGGCGGCGCUAAUUCGCUGCUACCCGCACCGCACCACGUCCCUAGCUUCCUCCUCUCUGAUCGAACCGAGUCCGUUUUACAAAGGGAUCCGGCGACUAGAGGGGAGCUGCCACCGGUGACGCUGCCAGAGAAGCUGGCGAGGUUCCUCCAGAAGUGCGCCGAAGGAGUUCCAGGACGAGCCCCGGUAUAGCGGCGACCGGUGGUACCUUCGCGGCUGGGUUCCAGAUGGGCUACCAUUACAAACUCCGUUGAUUAUUCACGCUCUGGUCGAUGCUCUGUCGGCAGCCCACUAACCAGGCAACUCUAUCGUUGAGGACCGUGUGUACCGCAGGAGGAUCCCUGAUGCUUUGUUGCUCCUGUGACCUUCAAUUUGUUGUGUGGCUGUCUACAAACGUACAGUAGCUUCAUUCAAAUUCUUUUUAGAAAUUGCUAGACGAUUUUUUUUGUAGAGCUGAGAGAAAAGAUGCAUAGACAAUAGAAUUAUGUUCAGGUUUGCAAUAAUUCGUUCUAUUUGCUUGCAAACAAAUUGCACAAGCCGUUCAUUUGUUGGAUGAUGUUUGCAUGUAUUUCUAGCAAGUUAUAAAAACUGAUGGAAGAUGCUUUGUGUAUUCUUUUGUGUGUCUAUCAGAACAGGCAUGGUGGGAGGGCGAUGCUCUGUUGACUGCUUUUCUUAUAAUAUUACAGAGGGAGGAUCGAAGUGGAGAUUGGUACUUUCUCUUUCAGCGGCCAAAGAAAAGCAACACUUGUUCAUGUGAUUUCAGAUGAAACGACCAGAGUGUGUAAAAUCUGGAUCGCUACAAACAGGUCAAGAAUAACUUCUCCAAGCUCUCAGAAGAGAAGCAAUAAUGUGACUCCCAGGUGCCUCUCUGAGAAAAGCUGGAGAUGCUUUGCCAGUGGCAAAACAAAGGGAAGUAAUUGCUACGGACGCCAGCCAGGUGUUCAUGCUAUUUGAUUAAUGUUUUCUGCUCUUAAUAAUGCUUUCGUUUUUCUUCUUUUAGAACCCUUCUUUUGUACUCUUACAAAUAGCAGAUGAAAGGAGAAGGAUGAAGAAGUCAAGCUAUUGGAGAGAUCAAUUGAGGAGCUCAAAAGAACUUUAGUGUUCUCAAAAGUAGCUUUAUUUAGUUUGAGUGAAUUUUGUGGCCUAAGUGUUGUAGCUAUUCAUUUUGCCACGCAUUCUGAAUGUUAGUACACACCCAUGUUGGUACAGAACUCCUAUUGUUAUGCCUGUUAUGACAACAACUUUCCCAGAUUUUUGUGCAUAAACAUACAUAUGUGGACUAAAUUCUUUUGUUACUUGCUCAGCCAAUACAUAUCUAUGCUUUUUUUUGCGGGUGAAUACAUAUGUAUGCUAAUAUAGUUAUUGGUGUUAUGAUAUUGGUUGAGUCAAUUAUACCAUUUACAAUAUUCAAAUAGGCUUUGAGUUUGGUAUAUGCAAAAUGUUUACAAACUAUUAACGUCUAAGUGAUAACUAAUAAAAAAAUAUGCAUCGUGCAUUCAUCCAUCUAUGGUAACUAUGCAAGCAUGCAUGACUAACAUUUGUUUUUCAAAUUUUCAAUCAUUUUUCUCAAGAAUUGUCCUUCUUAUCUCGGAUGAGAUAUAUUGAUGCAUUCCCAUAUUUACAUAUACUUCUAAUCCCUGAAAACACAAGACAAAUCCUAAAAGCAGUUACUUUUUGUAAUUAAAAUUGCUAGCAAUGACCUUUUUGUUUUACGCUAUUAAAUAUCUUAUGAUCUGAACAUCAUGCACCUGCCUGGAAACACAUAUUAGCACUGACUAGUGAAUUUUCACUAAGAAAAGAGAGCCUGAUUUUUGGGGAUAUUUUUCUCCCGUUGCAACGCACGGGCCCUUUUGCUAGUCUCUCCCUAAUAAUAAAGCACGGAUUGACUUUGUCGGGUUCACCGUCGCAAUGCGCUUUUUUCCGUGAUUUUACGCUUUCAGUUUGAAUUUUAAAACAUAUUCGAGGUGGUACUAAAUUUUGUCUCUGCAACUCGAUUGACCGGUACAUUCUUGUUUAGCUGGGCUGCGAUCCAGUUGGGCCUUGGCCCGUCUCUCUAUUCUGACCGCUACGUCUCUACGUUUCGUUAAAAAAAGUACGUUUUAUCCAAACGCUUUGCGGAGGGCGGAGCUGUGGCAGAAGAGGCGGCGCGACGGAGCAGAAGGGGCGGCGCGACGGAGCAGGAGAAGAUGGCCGAGAAGAUGUUCAGGCGCGGCGCGGCGGGCGAAGAAGAGUUUUGGUGAUGAGCUUGUGGCCACGCUGGACCAGCUGCUGCAGCCCCCCUGCGCCGUCGCCGUGGGUCGCCUGUGUUCUGCUGCUCCGGUGCCGGCACCUGUCCCUGUGCGGUGCCGUGCUCAGGAAUUUGGCGAAGAAGGCGACUGCCGUGCUUGCGCGCGAGAAGGGCGCCGGACCUCGUUGGCGCUGCGAAGGGGGCACAGCUCAGGUUGGGUACGCCGUCGGCCAGCGCCGGCGGCGAGCACGCUCCGCUGUGACCUGUCCGCCACAGCCAGUCCUCUCCCGCCUCCCCCGACUCCGUGUCCUUGUCCAACGCAAAUCAAUGGAGCUGCCGACCAGGAUUGUUGUUGGCUUCUAUAAGAAGGGAGGGUCCUCGGCUCGAAUCUCCAUCAGGUCAAUUUUGGACGAAGCAUCCAAUGUCGACACCGAGUUCGCCGCAGGAAGAAGCCCGGAGUUCGCCGGAGGUAGAAGAAGCGCCGAGUUCGCCGAAGGUAGAAGAACAGCCGUCGAGCUGUCCAAUCUCGCGUGCGUUGGCUACAACAGAGGUAUGUAUCCCCUUGACCCCUGUUUUGAGUUAUUUUUCUGUCCCCUGUUUCUCUGUGUACCUUCUAAUAUGGAGUUCAGAGGUAAAUACGUCAGUUUAGAUAUUGUUGCCUUCCUGUGAUUGUAGACACCCAUGUUGUGUUGUUGGUCUGUUGAACGAAGCGCUAGAACUGUCAGCAAUUCCUUCAGAUAGUGUUGUUCUCUGAACAGAGAAAACAAAAUUGGAACAACUGCUGUGGUGGUUCUCAUCUGGCCUUAGUUCCAGGUACAACAAUAACAAGCUUUGCUUCCUAACUACCUCUGCUCCUAUAGCUAGCUAAAAUUACAGCUGAUACAUGUAUAGGUAUAUUAGCAUAUGUUGUGUCAGGUUAAAAGUCCCGAGAGAUUUUGAACUACUGGUGGAGUGGAGAUGGUAAUUUGUAGUUCCACAUUCUGUGCUAAUACUUCGAUGGAUUGUUUGGUGAUAAGCUAAGUGUGUCUGAAAAUCUUUUCCGUCUGUACAAUUCUCUGUCUACACUCCUCCUUACGGAUCUGAGGUGAAAACAAAGCUGCAGGUAGAGAAAGCAAAGCAUAAUGAUAGGUAGCUUCAUGGUGUUUGUCUUAUAUUCAAACUGCAUUUAGCUUCUAAGAAUAUGAUAUAAUACAUCAGAAAAUAGUACAACGUGCAGGCAUCUCAAAAUUCCACUCCAAAUGAAACACUUAUUCCACUGAAAAAACACUCGCUCCAAAUAACUUUACCAUGGAAUUGUUUGAUCUAUCCUGUGAUGCGUCGGUUCUGAUUCUGUUGCAAUUGAAUUUAUGUUGAGAUCGCGGAAGAAUAUUGUUCUACUUACGGUGAUUAGAUUAUGCAAGUAUAAUGUUCUUUGCACGUCAGAUUUUCCAUGCUGUGAUGAUAACAAAGUAAAUUAUAGGUGCCUUACAAUGAGAAUCCUCUUAUAUUCAGGCAAGUACUAUUCCUACUUGACUGACGAACAUCAUAUCUGUAGUAUAUCUCUUUGCGCAAUGUUGGUUAUGUCGUAUUACUUCUGUGUUUUUUUACAUAUUUUACCGAUGGUUGUUUGUGUUAGGAACUGAGAUUCGCUAGCUUUCAUAUUCUGCUUUAGUUUUUUAAUACUGAAAGUGCAUGCCCAAUUUUAGUAAAGACUGGAUUUGGUAUUUCCUCCUUCCGUCUACAAAAAUGAUGCUCUGUCUCCCAUGCAAUCAAAUUAUCUCACGGGUGACUGAUAUUGAUUUUCUAACACAACAUUUUCUUAACGACACAACUUUAGUUAGUAGGUUUUGGAAAGGUCACGAAGUAUCAGUUAUCUACCAUUUAAACCUCCGACUGUAUGAAUCUCUACACAACCUCCGUGUUCUCCAUCGUCGAGCGGACGUCUCCAUAUGGUAUGCGUUAAUGGCUGGUGUGGCAAUGACGCUGGUCUUACAGAUGGUGCCAAAGGCGGAGGGGCAGCUGCGCGGCUGUACGAGCUACAACAGCAGACUGACAUUUGGCCGGCUGGGAGAACCCAAUUGUAGAGGAGUAGUGCCGUGAAAAAGAUGAAGACGGCGCGAGGCACGAGCUGUGGGCAUGGUAGGCAGGUAGAAUUUAAUUACCAAUUACCAACUAUGACGGCGGGAGGCACGAGCUGAAUUUAAUUACAGCUGAAAAUUAUGCUAUCAUGAAUGCCAUUAUUAUCUGAUGAAUUUAACUACAGUUGCAACUCUUUAGUUACUUACCACAACAAUUAGUUUUUAAUGGUCCUUCAAAUUACUGUAGCUGAAACUUACUCUGAAGAUUAACCAACUAUGUUCUCCUUGAUCCUACAAAAAAAAUAUUCAUUUGAAAUUAUAUGCAGUGUUUAUGCAAGCCUAUUAGGUUAAACCAAAAUGUAACCUACUUAUUCCAGCACUCUCUUUAUUUGGAUACACAUAGCUCUGUUUUAACAAAUCCCCAGUUGAUCCUAUGAUAUGCAGAUCCCCUUCAAGGCCACUGACUACAUGAGGGAGAGGUUGUCAGUUGGACAGAUUUGUCCUUCAUUUCAUUACUCAGUGCUGACCUCUUUCUCUAUUUUAUCUCAUUUUUUCAUUAGACUUUUUUAAGGAUGAUAAUAAUCUAUAAACAUUGUAGAAUGGUCAUGCUUCUCUUUGCAAGCUUAUAGCUUGAUUUA